rnacentral:lncRNA from 1 species
UAUGCACUUCCUGUUUCCACUGCCUUUUCACUCUCCCCUGGGGUUGCCUGAUGUUUCCCAGAGCAAUACACAUUGAAGAGAGCCUUUUCUCUUUCAAAAUCUUUUUUAUUUUUCUGUUUAAGAGAGAACCCCAAUAUCACUGGAAUAUGAACACUUCUGCUUUUUGUAAUAAAUAUUAUUUAAAAUGACUGGGGAAACCUUGGAUUUGGCUUGUGGACUAGCUUGAAGUGAGUCUGUCCACUCUAGGCAGCGUAAUUUUUGUCAGCAGCAAUGUUAAUACAGUUUGAGGAGGUUAAAGGAAGCAUUUAAUCUUUUUUUCUUGUUUAUUUUAAAGCAUUUUGUUAUGGUUUCUGCUGCUUCUGGGCUUAUAAAUCAUCUUUUGUCCUCUUCUUGUUCCUGUGGUGAGAUCUCCUCCCAGUCCAUGUCUUCUUGCUGCAGCUGGAGUGUUUAUGGCCUUCGACCCAAUGUCUCUUCAGAGAUCUCUCUUAAAUGAAAUUUUCUGCCCUGCUGCUUUCCUUUUCCUCUUAUUAUUGACCUUUUUUUUUCUUUUCUUUUCUUUUUUGUUUUUUUCUUUUUUUCCCCUUUCCUAAGACUCACACUGUCUCUGAAGUCCUAGGCAGCCCAGCCUCUUUGGCAGUCUGUCCCAAAUCUCAGGAUAGGGAACUGUGUCCCUAAAUGCUUUCUGUAUUCCCCAGUUUUCUCCCUUUCAUGAAGGUGGGAUCCAGCUACAUCCAACUCCAGGUUUUUAAUCUCUUUAACUGAUGGAGGCCAGAAACAAACACAAGACUAUUUAGCUUCAAGAAGAAAAGCUGUAAUGAGAAAUAACUGUGCAGUCCAAUGUCAUGCAGCUGUACCAGCAAUGGAAGAAAUAUGGCGACAAUUAUGUGGGAUGUUCUUUGGAGUUAAACUUUCUAUUUGGCAGAGGUGGAGACAGAUCACAGAGACAGCACCCAUGGGCAUGCAACUUUCCCAUCUCCUGUCCUCCUGCAGCAUGAUGUUGUGCCCAAAAGCACUGGAAAAGGUCUCCACCAGCCACAACAAUAUCCACACCAGAGGAGGAAUUCAGUAA